rnacentral:rRNA from 1 species
AACGAACGCUGGCGGCGUGCCUAACACAUGCAAGUCGAGCGCGAAAAGAGCAAUCUGAGUAGAGCGGCGCACGGGUGCGUAACACGUGGGUAAUCUGCCUCAAGGUCUGGGAUAACCUUCCGAAAGGUUGGCUAAUACCAGGUAAGCUCAAGGUGACUUCGGUCGCUGAGAGAAAAGGGGCCCGAAAGGGUCUCGCCAUGAGAUGAGCCCGCGGCCCAUCAGCUAGNGGUGAGGUAACGGCCCACCAAGGCUACGACGGGUAGCUGGUCUGAGAGGACGAUCAGCCACACUGGAACUGAGACACGGUCCAGACUCCUACGGGAGGCAGCAGUGGGGAAUUUUGCACAAUGGGCGAAAGCCUGAUGCAGCAACGCCGCGUGUGUGAUGAAGGUCUUCGGAUCGUAAAGCACUUUCGACC